GGAGUUAGCCGGUGCUUCUUCUGUGAGUGAUGUCAUUCCUGCCGGUUAUUGACCCGCAGGCCUUCUUCCUAACUGAAAGUGCUUUACAACCCGAAGGCCUUCUUCACACACGCGGCAUGGCUGGAUCAGGGUUGCCCCCCAUUGUCCAAUAUUCCCCACUGCUGCCUCCCGUAGGAGUCUGGGCCGUGUCUCAGUCCCAGUGUGGCUGAUCAUCCUCUCAGACCAGCUACGGAUCGUCGCCUUGGUGAGCCGUUACCUCACCAACCAGCUAAUCCGACAUAGGCUCAUCCGAUAGCGCGAGGCCCGAAGGUCCCCCGCUUUCCCCCGUAGGGCGUAUGCGGUAUUAGCCUGGGUUUCCCCCAGGGUUAUCCCCCACUACCGGGCAGAUUCCUAUGCAUUACUCACCCGUCCGCCGCUCGCCACCAGGGAGCAAGCUCCCCGUGCUGCCGCUCGACUUGCAUGUGUUAGGCCUGCCGCCAGCGUUCAAUCUGAGCCAUGAUCAAACUCUGA
rnacentral:rRNA from 1 species